UACCAUCCUGAACAUGCGCAAUUUUGUCUGAUUUUGGAAGCUAAACAGAGAUGGGCCAGGUUAGUACUUGACGGGAGAAUGCAGGAG
rnacentral:rRNA from 1 species